CUGAACAUGACCUGCUUUGACUGCUACAAUGUAAUUCACCCAUGUCUCCAUCCCCAUCUUUGGCGUGUUCUGAAGACUCUCAUAAUGGAAUGGCACAGGGCUGCUUCUCCAUCUUUACAGGACACAGAGAAUGAUCACCACGAUAAGUUCGGUUAACACCCAUCACCUCACAUACCAAGAUCUUUUGGAAGGAAGAACAGAUAUCUUGAAUUUCUUAUUGGAAUGCUGGGCUGUUUCUUAUUUUUCCCAGGUCACAUUGGAUGGGAAUGACCAUACCUGCGAUUCCCAGUAGAAUGAUCAGACCCACCUGGAGGACAGACCACAGCCAGG
rnacentral:lncRNA from 1 species